UACGGGGGGGGGCAAGCGUUGUUCGGAAUUACUGGGCGUAAAGGGCUCGUAGGCGGCCAACUAAGUCAGACGUGAAAUCCCCAGGCUUAACCUCGGGCCUGCAGUCGAUACGGGCAGACUAGAGUUCGGUAGGGGAGACUGGAAUUCCUGGUGUAGCGGUGAAAUGCGCAGAUAUCAGGAGGAACACCGGUGGCGAAGGCGGGUCUCUGGGCCGAUACUGACGCUGAGGAGCGAAAGCGUGGGGAGCGAACAGG
rnacentral:rRNA from 1 species